UACGGAGGGUGCAAGCGUUAAUCGGAAUUACUGGGCGUAAAGCGUGCGUAGACGGUUAUUUAAGUCAGGUGUGAAAGCCCCGGGCUCAACCUGGGAAUUGCAUUUGAGACUGAAUAGCUAGGGUGCGGAAGAGGGAAGCGGAAUUUCCGGUGUAGCGGUGAAAUGCGUAGAUAUCGGAAGGAACACCAGUGGCGAAAGCGGCUUCCUGGUCCAGCACCGACGUCAGGCACGAAAGCGUGGGGAGCAAACAGG
rnacentral:rRNA from 1 species